UAGGGAAUAUUGGACAAUGGGGGCAACCCUGAUCCAGCCAUGCCGCGUGAGUGAAGCAGGCCCUCGGGUUGUAAAGCUCUUUUGUCCGGAAAGAAAAGCAUUCGGUGAAUACCCGGAUGUUCUGACGGUACCGGAAGAAUAAGCACCGGCUAACUUCGUGCCAGCAGCCGCGGUAAUACGAAGGGUGCAAGCGUUACUCGGAAUUACUGGGCGUAAAGCGCUCGUAGGUGGUUGUUUAAGUCUGAUGUGAAAGCCCUGGGCCCAACCUGGGAAUGGCAUUGGAAACUGGGCAGCUAGAGUGCGGUAGAGGUAAGUUGAAUUCCCGGUGUAGCAGUGAAAUGCGUAGAGAUCGGGAGGAACAUCUGUGGCGAAGGCGACUGCCUGGACCAGCACUGACACUGAGGCA
rnacentral:rRNA from 1 species